UACGGAGGGUGCAAGCGUUAUCCGGAUUCACUGGGUUUAAAGGGUGCGUAGGCGGGCAGGUAAGUCCGUGGUGAAAUCUCUGAGCUUAACUCAGAAACUGCCAUGGAUACUAUUUGUCUUGAAUAUUGUUGGAGGUAAGCGGAAUAUGUCAUGUAGCGGUGAAAUGCUUAGAUAUGACAUAGAACACCAAUUGCGAAGGCAGCUUACUACACAGUUAUUGACGCUGAGGCACGAAAGCGUGGGGAUCAAACAGG
rnacentral:rRNA from 1 species